rnacentral:tRNA from 2 species
GGGGUUAUAGCGCAGUUGGGAGCGCGUUAGCCUGAAGGUCCUGCACAGUAGACCUGCAAGCUAAAGGUCACCGGUUCGAUCCCGGUUAACCCCA